CACGCCGAUGGUACUGCGUAACAGUGGGAGAGUAGGUAGCCGCCAUUU
rnacentral:rRNA from 1 species